rnacentral:rRNA from 1 species
CAGUAGCCGCGGGAAAACCAGCACCUCGAGUGGUCAGGAGGUUUAUUGGGCCUAAAGCAUCCGUAGCCGGUUGCAUAAGUUUUCGGUUAAAUCUAUGCGCUUAACGUAUAGGCCGCCGAAAAUACUGUGCAGCUAGGGAGUGGGAGAGGUACACGGUACUCGAUAGGAAGGGGUAAAAUCCUUUGAUCUAUUGAUGACCACCUGUGGCGAAGGCGGUGUACCAGAACACGUUCGACGGUGAGGGAUGAAAGCUGGGGGAGCAAACCGGAUUAGAUACCCCGUAGUCCCUGUCUCUUAUACA